CCCUUAGAUGUUCUGGGCCGCACGCGUGCUACACUGAGUGGAUCAGCGGGUCAGGUUGCGCGAAAGCGUUUCCUAAUCUUUAAAUCCGCUCGUGAUGGGGAUUGACGGUUGCAAUUUUCUGUCAUGAACGAGGAAUACCUUGUAAGCGCGGGUCAUCAUCCCGCGCUGAAUACGUCCCUGCCCUUUGUACACACCGCCCGUCGCUCCUACCGAUUGAAUGUUUCGGUGAAACUUUCGGACCGCAGUUUUUGGACCCUCGGGUCCUCUGACUGUGGAAAGUUAUUUAAACCUCAACAUUUAGAGGAAGGUGAAGUCGUAACA
rnacentral:rRNA from 1 species